rnacentral:tRNA from 1 species
AGGGAUGUAGCUCAGUGGUAAGAGUGCAUGUUUAGCAUGCAUGAAGCCCUGGGUUCAAUCCUCAGUGCCCUCA